CCCACUGGGCUGACCGGUUUGCGACACUCCAAAUAAGACAACAAAGUUUGUAUAAAGUUGGAUUAAAAUUGGAUUUAGGAAUCUUCUUGAAGGCGAUAAUUUGCAACAAAAUUUUAAGAUCCAAGAAUUGGGGGUUUGUCUCUUUGCCGAGUCAGGCAGUUUCAAUUUGUCAUCUUCAAGCGCGCCUGGAGCUCAAACUUUAUGACCCUUUGCUUGGUGGGCUAUAUUUCUUGGCAAGUGUUGCAGAUAUAGAACUUCCCUGCUAAAAGAUAUCUGCUUAGACCUUUGUUUGAGACUAUAGUAAACAUGGUUCACACGUUAGAAACUAUUAAGGGUGGUGGAGGAUCCAUCAAGGUUGGUACCAUGGGAUCUAUUAGUUCCCUGAUGGCGAGGGAACUGGAUUCCAUUAAAUCUGCACCUCAGAUGCCCUUAUCUUCCCGGACCAAACGUCAGUUAGUACCUGUUUCAGUUCCCUAUGGUGCUACAACUCCUAAAAGACUACAGCCAAAAAAAUCAUCUGACGAGCCAAGCAGCAACUACAUUGAUCAUAGAAGCAUUGAUAUUACCAGGAAAACAAACGGCUACACUAGAAAUACCCAUCGAAUACCAAUGCUCAUCUCUGAUAGUAUUACUCUUGAUAGAACUCCUAGUAGGGGAAAAACUGACAAGAAAGCAUCUAAGAUAGUUGAAAUUGUGGAUAUAAAAUGUGGGAACCGGGAUAGAGCAUGGGCUAGCCCCAUAACAAAUCGUCUCAAGAAGCUGGGAUUCUCAAAGCUAUCUGAGAGUGUUAUCUAAGCUAGCAACUUCUUCAGAUCUCAUUUAAGGUUCUUGUAACUGAAACCAGAACUUCCAACUGGUUGAUUGUUGUCCGAAAUUUCCACUGUAGAACAUAUACUUGGUAUGAGCAUGCUGCGUUCCUUUUUCUUCUUUUGCGUUGCUAUGUCAGAUCCAAAAGUGGGUCUGGAAUGACUACUAGAAGAGGCCAUGGUCUGGAUCUCCGAUGGUGCCUCGAGCACCUAUUUCUACAGGAUUCUGUGCCUUCAUUUCUUCAGGGACCUUCAUGGCCUUGGUGCUGGAUUGACACACGUUUUGUUUGGUUUGUGUGAAGGAGGCUUGUGGAUGAAGAGAGGUGGGUUUGGGUCUCAUCUUGGUGGGGAAGUUUUGAGUCUAAGUCAUUUGGUUUUGCAUUUUUACCUGGUGAUUCACAUGAACUCUUUAACUUAUGUUCUUCAUCUUAAAUAAAAGAUCAGCAGAUUUUCCCUGA